rnacentral:lncRNA from 1 species
UUGAUUGAAGCCACGCGCCAUCUACAUUUCAUUAAGAAGUUUUUUUUAUUCUUUCCCUUAUUUUUUGUUUUAUUAUUCUAUUCUUUUUUUCUUUCUUUUUCUUUUCUUUCUCUUCCUCCAAUUACCUUCUUCCAAGACGUGACCACCCCCAUUCCCACAAAAUCCAUUCCACAUUUUCUUUUUUCUUUCAUUUUUCUUUUUUAUUUAUCAAAUCUGAAAUUAUUGUUUAGUUUGUGGUUAUGCAAGAAGAAUAUAAUCAUAAAUGGGAUCUGCUGUUAAAUAUGGUGGACCUGCUGAUGAAAGUUCUGCAAAAUUUGGCCUGAAAAAAUGGGUUUCGAUGGUCGGAAAACUUUCCAGCGAUGGAUUUCCAGCACAACCUGGUUAUUUUUCUUGCAAAUUUAUGGACCGAUAAUAGGAAAAUUUUCUACAACUAAUGAAUUUCCCAAAUUUGUUUACUUUUUAAAUCAUUUAGAAUGAAUCUGCAAUUACUGAGUUAUUUAAACAAUUUUGUCUUCUUAAAAAACCAAGUUACGCUAUCUUCAACUUGGUGCUUCAAUGGUGUUUUGAUGGCUUACUGUUAAUUUUGAAAUUGGUUGUAGGGUGGCCUCUUGGUGGAUUAUGGCAGUAAGGGCAGUGGCGGAUCCUGCAGGAAUUUAUGUUCCUGGGUGCUUAAUUUUUUUAAAAAAAAAACGGGUAAACUGUAAUCAAUGUGGUUCAAACUCCCGACCCCUACCUUCUUGAAAUCAACGACUACCCCUUGAUGACCAAAGCACC